GCCGGAAUAGCUCAGUUGGUAGAGCAG
rnacentral:tRNA from 4 species